GGAGGAGGAGGAAUUGAUAAAAAUAAGGAGGAGGAGGAAUUGAUAAAAAUAAGGAGGAGGAGGAAUUGAUAAAAAUAAGGAGGAGGAGGAAUUGAUAAAAAUAAGGAGGAGGAGGAAUUGAUAAAAAUAAGGAAGAGGAGGAAUUGAUAAAAAUAAGGAGGAGGAGGAAUUGAUAAAAAUAAGGAAGAGGAGGAAUUGAUAAAAAUAAGGAAGAGGAGGAAUUGAUAAAAAUAAGGAAGAGAAGGAAUUGAUAAAUUUGUAGUGGAAUUAGUAAAAGGAAUUGAUAAAAAUAAGAAGUUUUUUUUCCGAAAGGAAAAUAACCUUUCGCUCAUGCGUCUAAUGAAAACGAUGAUAUUUUUUUAAAUCUUAUUGCUGAGCUGAGAGGAUAGAGCUUUUUAGUUCUUGUUAUAGCAAAAAACAUUGUCGGUUAAUUUUUAAUUACAUUCUUAGUAAUUUUAAAAUUUGCUAUGUUUGGCAAAUCGAAUAAUUUGUUUCGAGAGAAUUAUAAAAAUUUUUAAAAAUUUGUUAUGUUUAUAAAAUGUAGAGAAUCACGUUAAUAUUUAAAUAUAUAUUUUGUUUAAGGACAUAGUUUUUGGACAUUUGUACUGUCGAACGAUUUUUCCUUCGAAACAUAUUAAUAAAAAUAAGGAACAGAAGGAAUUGAAGAAAACAAGGAGGAAGAGGAAUCGAUAAAUUUUUGGAGGAAAAUUAUUUGAUAUAAAUAAGGUAGAGGAAAAAUUUAUAAAAUUGGGGAGGAACAGGAGAAAUUGAUAAAUUUGGGGAGGAAGUGGAAUUGAUAAAAAUAAGGAAGAGCAGAAAUUGAUAAAUUUGGGAAGGAAAAGGAAUUGAUAAAAAUAAGGAAGAGGAGGAAUUGAUAAAUUUGGGAAGGAUAUUUGUUUCUCAUAAUUUAUUCACGUGACUGAACAGCAGCCACACAAUCAGCUAUGGAUUAAACGUGUCAAUUAUUCACGGGGAUGAUUAAAACAGUGAGGGAACGAAUAUUUCCAUGCCAACUUUAAUUUAUCGUACGUUAUACAAUUACUGUUUGAUUAAUUGAAAUGGCAGCUUAAAAAAAAGUUGUUAAAAAAAAAUAAACGCUGUAUUUUUCGCAAAAAAAUCUGUGGAAUUAAUGCAUCGUUAACUUCUACAUCUCUCAUCGAUGAAUCGCGCAAUGGUGGCUCUGUGCUUGUUAAUCGUGAAACUUUUCAUUCGCCUGUGUUUGCGAAUAAAUUUAAUCAUUGCCAAAGGGUGAGGGAACGAAUAAAGGGAAGAAUUUUCAGGGAAUAAGAGAAUAACUCAGUGGCGGGUUUCUAACGCUGGCGAAUGCAUAAAUUUCAUGAGCGACUGCCUCGAAUAAAUUGGCUAACCCACUGAACGAUACAGUUCACUGAAUAAUUAUAUUUUCUAACGUGGAGGAAAAAUCGCACUUUUUGGCAACAUAUGAUUAUUUAUGCAUUUACGAAAAUUUUAAAACUGCAAAAAUGUAUAGAAACUGAAUAGUAGGUAAGGUACGUAUAUAAAAUAUAUAAAAUAAAGUAUAAGUUAUAAUAUUUAAUAAAAAAAAGUUUUAAUAAAAAAAAUGAAUUUAUAUUUAA